GAUGGGGGGAGAAGAUGAUUCCACAAAACACCCUAAACUGUGACUUAUUUACCUAACCUGCCAUCCGUUUCGAUUUCUAAUAAAUCGCCUGGACGAUUCGACUUAUUUACCACACCAGCCACAAACGUCCCCGGUUAAAACCGGUUGCCGGUGGAUAAAUCAUUGCCGUCCACAAGAAAUCCAACGAUAAUAAGAUAAAAUUACCCUUCCAAAUAGUGUAGCAAACACCUACACUUGAUUCUUUUAGAUAUUUUUAAGUAUUUUUUUCAUAAAUAUUC
rnacentral:lncRNA from 1 species